UGGGGAAUAUUGCACAAUGGGCGCAAGCCUGAUGCAGCCAUGCCGCGUGUAUGAAGAAGGCCUUCGGGUUGUAAAGUACUUUCAGCGAGGAGGAAGGCGAUAAGGUUAAUAACCUUGUCGAUUGACGUUACUCGCAGAAGAAGCACCGGCUAACUCCGUGCCAGCAGCCGCGGUAAUACGGAGGGUGCAAGCGUUAAUCGGAAUUACUGGGCGUAAAGCGAGCGCAGACGGUUUAUUAAGUCUGAUGUGAAAGCCCGGAGCUCAACUCCGGAAUGGCAUUGGAAACUGGUUAACUUGAGUGCAGUAGAGGUAAGUGGAACUCCAUGUGUAGCGGUGGAAUGCGUAGAUAUAUGGAAGAACACCAGUGGCGAAGGCGGCUUACUGGACUGCAACUGACGUUGAGGCUCGAAAGUGUGGGUAGCAAACAGGAUUAGAUACCCUGGUAGUCCACGCUGUAAACGAUGAAUGCUAAGUGUUGGAGGGUUUCCGCCCUUCAGUGCUGCAGCUAACGCAUUAAGCAUUCCGCCUGGGGAGUACGACCGCAAGGUUG
rnacentral:rRNA from 1 species